rnacentral:tRNA from 1 species
GUCCAUGGUGUAGUGGUUAGCAUUGCUGCCUUCCAAGCAGUAGGCACGAGUUCGAUUCUCGUUGGACGCAC